rnacentral:rRNA from 1 species
UACGUAGGGGGCUAGCGUUGCUCGGAAUCACUGGGCGUAAAGGGCUCGUAGGCGGCCAACUAAGUCGGACGUGAAAUCCCUCAGCUUAACUGAGGAACUGCGUCCGAUACUGGAUGGCUUGGAUUCGGGAGAGGAAUGCGGAAUUCCAGGUGUAGCGGUGAAAUGCGUAGAUAUCUGGAGGAACACCGGUGGCGAAGGCGGCAUCCUGGACCAAUUCUGACACUGAGGAGCGAAAGCCAGGGGAGCAAACGGG